CUUAAGUAUGUGUACCUGCUGUAAAUAUGGACAGAGAGCUAUUUGUAGGCUUUAGGUGGGCAUGGUGUGGAGUUUUAGAAUGCCCAUAAAGGACCUACGGACAUCA
rfam:Morus notabilis contig4942, whole genome shotgun sequence.